ensembl:lncRNA
CUCGAGAAUUUUACCCUUCUCAGAAAUGUGUUCUCAACCUCCUCAAUAUUAAUGAACAGAAAAUAGAAAUGAGAGACCUUACCACUAGGUGGUGGUAAAAUUGCCACUCAGAAAGUGCAGCGUUCCAGUGGUAUCUAAGGUAUUGAGCCUGACGUGCUAGAAUUUGUAUUGUCUAGAGCGGUGGUCCUUAAACUUUGGUGUCUACAAGAGUCACCUCAGGUGUUUGUUUAGAAUGCAGGUACACUGAUUUUGUUAGGUUUGGGUUGGGUUUUUUGACAAGGUCUCUGAGUGACUCUGCGCCAUUGGCGUUGACUUUGUGGUAUACUGACCUAAAGAGAUUCCAUAUUUGGGCCUUAGGUUGGACUAUUGUAAAAGUAAGACACUGAGAAGUUACCAAGUUGUUUACCUCGAGCAUUUUUUAGAAUUAAGCAUCUGCUUUCCCUCAAUUUAUUAUCAAUAAAUAUGGAUUACCAUAAGAAAUUGAAAAACAUAAGCCAUCUCACAAAAUGUCAGGCCAGCUUUUUCCUCUUGGCAGAUGUUUUUCAAUGUUUCUGAAGGAUGGUAAUUAUUUGCUUUAUGUCAUUCAAAGCUUCUACCUAAUUUUAUUUUCUAUUUACAUUUAUUUUGAAGUGAACUAUGUUAAUAAGUGAAUCAGAUUUUGGCUCUGAAGAACUUCCUAAAUCUGUGUAUUCUUUUUAAAUGGCAAAGAGCUUGAAGGUGAUAUCAUCAGUAUGUAAAAAAUUGAAGUAGAAAAAUCACAAGGGUACAGAAAUCAUGUCUGCAUAUGUGUGUAUUACUACAGUCCUAAAGUGAAUCUUAUAAAAUGAAUGUUUUUUGGUGCACCUCAAAAAUCUUUUGAUAUGUUAAGUACAGUUUACCUGUCAAUAACUUCUUAUGAACACAUAAAGCAAAAUAUCAGUAAAGGCAGAAACAAGUGAAAUAUUUAUAUAGCCUUUUCACCCAGCAAUACAACCACAUGCAAGUUUUAUUUCUUCCAUAUGUGAGUGGUAAGCUCUAAUAAUAGUCAUGGCUGUUAUUUUUACAUAUGAUUUCAGUAAAGAGAGAAAACAUAAUGGUCAUCCUUACUAGGUAAGAAGUUCCAUUUUAAUAUCUGAAUUCUAAUAAAUGGAUUGCAUUAUUUCCUUUUCUAGAAACAGUAACUCAAGAACAGUGGAUCCUGUGAACUGAAGAAAAGCUGAAGUACAUUCAAAGAAAUGAGUGGGAAAUCAUCUUUUCCAAAAUCACAAGUGGGGAAGCGGGUCAUCUUAUGUAGCCAGUCUUCAUCAAAACCUAUGCUCUUAACCUCUACACCAAGUAUCAACGGCUGUAACAAGGAAUUCAGAAACUACUUCACAAAUUUAUAUUUAUGCAGCAACAGGAAGUCCUUCUAAAAUUAUGGAAUAGCAUUGGAAUAAUGUGUAAUAUUUAGUGAAAGCAAGCAGGAUACAAAAUUAUAUACAUAGUGUGAUUUAUAAUUUUUUUAAGCUAGAAUGAGUUUGAAAACCCAAUGUGUGUGUUUGCUUUUCACUAUUGUCCCUGCUUUUUUUUUUUAAUCUAAAAUGUAUAAAGUAUAUUGUGUCCCCUAUAAGAUCAUAAGUUUUUGUAAACAAACUCUUUAUUUUUGUAACCUCAAGCCGAGCUAUCCUGUUUACA